UCCCGUUCGCCAUUUAUCCCGUGCAUUAGGAUAACAGGUGUGGCACCCACACUCAGAUAAUUUCGCAUCAGGAAGGAUUCCCGGUUGAUGAAGAAUUCGCCGAUAUGUGCCCAGGGAUUGUUGCAGACGCACUUAAAGCUGCUCCAGAGCUCCUUGCACUGGGCGCCAUUGCGACAGGGCGAUGGGACGCAGGAUGGCUUGCAGUCCUUGAUAAUCUCCGACAGAUGCACCGACAUGUAGCUGUAGAUGUCGAGAAUCUCGCCGUUGACCACCAGACCACGGAAGCAGCCAAUAAGGCCGGCCUUAACUGACAGCUUCUUCAGCAGGUCGCUGUAAGGAAACGAGUGAAAAAGUCAGCUGGGGGAUUAUUUUAUAUUAUGACUUGUCGUAACUAUUCAAUAACUUGGCCACUUUGACAUAAGCCACACCAGCUGCAGUGCACCCACCCCCCCAAGGCGAACAUUAAACAUUAUCGGAGAUCACGUUCUGCGUCCUGGAUUCUGCAUCCUUGAUUCCAUAUUCUUUCCACCGACUUCACUAGCUUUAUGCAAAUAAAUUGUGACCCGCUCAAUCGUAUGCGACGCGUUUGAGUUUUUAAACUUGCCCAGAUGAAAAUCGAAGCGACACCCUCUAUAAAAAGUCGACGGACAGCUGUGGCGAAAGUUUGCCGAGCUCAGCUUGCUACUUUCUUUUUAUCUUCGAAAGGGGUAUAUAAUUUUAUGAUAGAGAUUCGCUAGUCAGCGAAACGAGAGCAUAUAUGUAUAUCUACGUUGCAUUUAAGAGUUUAGUUUAAAUGAAAAUAAAGAAGUGUUUUCGAAAUAUA